UAGAUUCUAAAGUUGGUAUUUAAAAUCUUGGUAGCUAAUUAGAUACCAAUUUAGAAAAUAUUUAUCAAUAAUAUAAAAUAAUUUAGAUACCAAUAAUUUUGUUAGUCUCUAAAAUACUAUCUAAUUUAGUCAAUAUAGCAACUAAUUAUUUUUUGUCUCUUAAAUUGAUUUCUAUUUAGUGAUUUUCUUGUAGUGGAUUAUUGAGCAAAAAUUCUCAAAAUAUAACUUUUGCAUUAUGAGAAGUUUUGCUACAUGAUUUUGGAUUUUAAUUAAGUGUAUUGAAUAAGACAUACUUCAUGUUGUGUUUUCUAUAAUAUCUCUCAUCUAGUUUACAAGUUUUCUUCCCACCUGCAUAAGUCUUUGCUGCACACGGUGAUUUUACAAUAAGAAAAAAACUUUCAGGCAAAGUAGCAUAAAUAUCAUCCAUCUAAUAAUGUGCACCAGAGCCUAUGUCUUAUUUAUUUAACCUACAAUAAUAAGCACAUUCAACAUGAACAUACGACAACACCUACACAUUAAUGACAUUGUAUAAUCACAGAUUUUAAGCAAAAAUUUGAGUAUUACAUUAAAUCUGAGUAAGAGAAUGUGUCAUUCAUACCCAGAAAUAGAGUUGUGUCAUACAGAAUAAUUCUUCAACAUCAACCUUAUUGUUCUUAAAUAUAAUUUUAUUCCUGUGAUUCCAAAUCCUCCAGAACAUAGCUACCCACAUCUCUUUCCAUAUUUUAUUUUGUUUUGCAUUUAGUUCAAAUAAAUGGAAUUUUUGAAAAUGUUACAUUAAAUCCAUAUGUUGUACUAAUUGAAUUACAACUCAUUUAUCACACAUUUAUCAAACAUAAUUUGAUUUCUUACACCCUACAAUGACAUGUGUUAGAGUUUCAUCUUCAAAUUGACAAAAUACAUAAAAAAAAGUAUUAGAUAAUAUUAUCAAUUGUACUUUAGUAGGCACUCUCCCCUUCACUAAUCGCCAAACAUUAUGUUGAGUAGCAUGAAAACACUUGAGCACUCCAUAAAGCAGGAAAACAAAUCCACUAAGUAAACCACUAUUAUCCUACAAACAAUCAUAAGUUGACUUUUCUAUAUACUCCCAUUUUCUUCCUCUUCUAAAUUUUUACCCCUAAUAUUUGCAAAGAUUUGCUUCCUGUUGUGUUUUCCAGACAAAUUUCCUACAUCUCCAUCCUAAGUUCCACUCCCAUGUUUGCUCAUCUCACCUCCCUAAUCAAAGGUACCUGAGUAGUCCCUACAUCAUUCCAAAACUUAACCUUAUUCUUUUUUCCAAUCUUCUAUUAUACAUUAUUAUUAUUGAAUUAGUUCUUGUGGUGGUUCUUUCCACAAACCUUCCUUAAGUCUACAUUCGAAGUGUUAGAUUGUGAGUUGGUUGACUAAUGUAUUGAAUUAUUAUAAUUUUUUUUUUGUUAUGUUUUGAAAUGAAAACAUAAGUGAUAUGAUUAUUGUCCAUUAUAAUCACAAAACAACUAUAAUAUUAGAUUUCCAUUCCUAGACAUGGAAGUAAAUGAGUACGUGCUAGAUACCAAUACAAGCAAAUUAUGGGACCACAGAUUUUCAGCUUCUUCUUUCUCCAUUUUAUUACUUUUUUUUUUCUUCUUCCAUCAUAUCUAACCCAUUAGUUACCCAAUCGAAUAGAACAGAGAAAAUUGGAAACAAUUUGAAGAAGGAAAAAGAGCAAUUAAUUACGUACAUAGCAUUCAAGUCUAUAUAGUCGUAGAGAUUAUCAGCGUUAUGGAAAUAUCCAUAUGCUCGACAAUGUUUGAUUAAUUUUUUAAAAGUAAGUUAAUUGAGAAAAAUGGCGUCCAAACAAUAAUCCUCACAACAACAUUUGUUUUAUGAAUUGUUGAGUAAAUAUUUCUAUUUCUACAAUAUUCAAGGGUAAAGACACUCUAAGGAUCAAGUUGUGGUGAAUAUAUAUUUAGAUUACGGGUAUUACAGUUAAUUGCUGAUUAAAAAAAAUGGGUAUUACAGUUAGAAAAUCAUUACCAUUUUUAUUUGGAGUUUUCAUUUAUUUAUAGUUUUUUCCUAUGAACCUGAGGAUUAUCGUAGGUUUAUGAAGGUUUAAUAUUUUUCCUAAUCCGGUUUAGGAUGUGAUUAGUUUUGUUGUACUCAAAGAUGAGUUAUUCUUUGGUGUGAUUCAUGUUUGGAUCUAAUGACCGAUAUGUCGAUAAUACCAUUCGGUACUCAAAGUAUAAGAAUCACUACAAGAAAAUCAUGAAAUAGAAACCAAUUUUUAAAGACCAAAAUAAUUUAGUCACAAUAGUAAUUAAAUUAGAGACCAUUUUAGAAACUAAAAAUGGUUUCUAAAUUAGUUUCUAUUAUUGUUAAAUAGUUUCUAAAUUGGUAUCUAAUUAACAACCAAGGUUUUUGUUACCAAAUUUAUAAACUAAAGAAUUGGUAGUUAAAACAUUGGUUGCUAAUUAGAUACCAAUUUAGAAAUUAUUUAACAAUAAUAGAAACUAAUUUAGAAACCAUUUUUAGUUUCUAAAUUGGUCUCUAAUUUAGUUACCAUUGCAACUAAUUAUUUUAGUAUCUAAAAAUUGGUUUCUAUUUCAUGAUUUUCUUAUAGUGAAUGAUUAGAAAGAGAUUUGAUUUGGUGGGUUGUUUUGGUGAAUGAAUGAUUGGCAAAAAUUUAGGUGUGCCUGGUUGGUGAAAACAGAAUGAGCAUGUGUGUAGUGCGUUGUUGUGUUUUAGUAGAAAAAAUGGAUACAACCACUAUGAUGUGAUAAGAGAAGAGAUAUAAAAACAAAUGAAAGCUAUAUAAAGUAUCUUUCAAACAAAAAGUAUAUGAGUAUUAUUGUAUUUUUUUGGUUCCAAUGUCAAAUUUUUCAAAAGUCAUCAUAGCCUUUCUUUUGCUCUAUUGCUUUCUGAUGGGUUCCAAGUGAGUAAAUUCAUGGUGUGGAAAGAAGAAAAUAAUAGCAAAAGGAAAACUGAAACAAUGAGAUAGUUUUAUGAUAACUUACUUUUAUUUUAAAUACUUUUUUAAUUAAACACUCUUUCAUAAUUAUUUUUUUAAAAGUAUUCAUUUUAACCCGUUUUAGAUAGGACUAAAAGAAAAACUCUCUUUUUUCAAAUCACCAAAUUUUUUAAAAAUUAAUUUUAAAUUUUGAGAAUAAAAGUAACUUACUAUAUUUAAGAGACUAAAAUAUUUUCACCGAUUUCUAGGAUUUAUUUAUCUAAUUCCAAAUAAAAAAAUUAAUUAAACAACCUCAUAGUCAAUGACGAAAAGAAUAUUUAAACAAAUUUCAUUCUUGUAAUAUAGUUAAUCUCAUUUUAUUUUCCUAUAUUACAUUUAAUGAUUACCGGAAAUGGAAACUUAAACUUAAUUACAUCACAUGUUUGCUUGCUUACUCGGCGAGACCAAAUAACCGUUAAUUGUAUAUCUUUGUUAAAGUUUAUUUGACAUUAAUUUUCUUUUUUACUUUCACUUUACAACCCUUUUUUAAUAAUAAAAUAUUAUGUUUUAUAAUAAAAAUUAAUAUAAACAAAAUUUAAAAAUAAAAUAAUAAUAUAUUUAAUUAUCAAAUGAAUAAAGAUUUCAACUUAUCAUUGUUAUUCAACUAUAUCAGUUAGGCUAGGCUAAUAGAUACGAAGUCAUUGAUAUAUACAACCCUAAAAAUAAUAUUGGGUUAUUCAAGUUGAAAAAUCACAGAGAUUUGAUUCUUAGUUGAGUAAACUUAUACAAGAAAUUGAUAACACUUUUAAUCAUAAAACAAUAAGUUCGUAGUCUUUUUUUCUCCUAUAUUUAUUCAUCUAAUAUAAGAUUCUGUACUCCUUACUUUAAUUUAUGAUAAAUAGGUCUGGAAGGACAGUAAGACAAUAGUGUUUUCAGUCAAGUCUGCUUACGAGAGCUAUUAAAGAGAGAAGGAGAAGAGAAAAAUUCGAGAUUUUACAAAUGUUUCUGGAGGAUUAAAGCGUUGUCUUCGGCUCAUGUCACAGCUUGGAGGGUGAUUGAAAACAAGGUAGCCUCCAAGGUAAAUUUGGUGAGACAAGGGAUACAGAUUGAGUGUAAUCUUUGCAGCUUAUGCAGGUUAUUAGAGGAGUCAACAAAUCAUUUAUUCUUCGAUUGCAGGAUAGCUUGGCUAAUUUGGAACCUAUGUUAUGAUUGGUUAGGAAUGAAUUCGGUUGAUCUUAUCAUUCCUGGGUCACAUUUUGAACACUUCAAAAUUUUGGAUGCACCUAAUUUAGUUAAUCUUACUAUGGGUAAUAUUUGGAUAGCUUUGGUCAGUGAGAUUUGGAGACAUAAGAAUAAUUGUUUGUUUAAAGGAGGAGUGGUUGAUCAUACUGAAGUUUUUUCUCUGGCACAGGUCAAGGUUUGGUCUUGGAUCAACUCAAAGAUACUGUCAGUAAAUUUCUCAUUCUCUUAAUAGUGUCUUGAAGCCUUGGUAUGUAUGUACUCGAUUUAAGGUUGGUGCAUUGUUUUUUUUUUUUCUUCAGUUAUUAAUCUAUAGAUACGAAGGUGAAAGAACUUUUAUCUUUUAUUCUCUGUAUGAGAAUUGGAUCACCCUUUAAUUAAACCGAUUUAAUUUAAUUGUUUAUUGCCGAUAAAAAAAAUUCACAUAGUCCAUCAAAAAUAAUUUAUGACCCCGUUAUUUAACAUUUAAUUAUUCUAAACAAAAUCAUAACUUGGGUAUCUAUAGAUUGAUGCGAACAUACCUAGCAAGGUUUUGCCAUACUUUACCCUACACAGCAACACUGAGAUGAAGUAUGCAUACCCUAUUCUCUGCUAAAUUUGGUAACAAGUAAACAAGUUAGAGAAUAGAAAGACAUGCAAGUAAAACUCAUCAUAAUAUUAAGUUGCAUAUUUUGGAUGAAUGGAUUAAUGCCCGUAUUUUGAUCAAAUUGUCUCACUUCACCGCCAACCAGACAAUUUUAGAAGCCUUUGCCACCGCUGGGAGAGUCCACGUACGUAAUAGAUUUCGGAAUCAACCAAUGCCUUCGCAUUGUCCAAUCUCCACCCGGACAUGCUCGUGGAUCUCCAAUAACUGAACAUUCUUAAAGCUCUUUUCUAUGGUGUUCAUCUUCAAGCUCUCUCAAAUGGGGGGGUAGAGGAGAGGACGAUGGGUUCGGUUCAUGCAAUUCACUUGUUUUUCUGACCAACAAAAUAGAAGUAAAAUGGAGAGUGGGAGGGUAGUUGGUAUGAGGCACAUGGCUUUUUUUUCUCUGUGAUUUCAGAGGAUUGUGCAAAAACGAUAAGGGUAAGGAAGGGAGGCUUAUGUGGGGUGUGUUCUUAGAGUUUACUAGGUUGAGUUGAGAGAGAUUUGCUUGGUGAUUAUGCAGGCUGUGUGAGUGUGAUGAUGAAGAGAAUCACAGUGGGUAGGUGUAUUUAUGGUGGUGUGAGACAAGUGCUAGC
rnacentral:lncRNA from 1 species